rnacentral:snRNA from 1 species
AAAUGAAGCUGGAAAUAAGGGCUGAAGCAUCUGUCACCCCACUGUGGCCAGGGUCAAUCUGACUGAUUUGGCUGGCUAGUGGGUGUUCCCUUCCGCCCUACCCACUGAAGUGUGAUUGUCCCAAAGCUGUAUGCUUGGUAGUCAGGAAUGUCCAUUCCAUACUGAAGGAGCGUAUCAUUCUUCAGUAAAGGCUACUGUUACAGUUGUAACCGUACAACUGCAGAGUCACAAAUCAUUCUAUGUUUUUAUAGAAUGUGUCCUACUACCUUUCUUGUAAGAGCUAUUUAGAGGCUACAUUACAGAGGUGUUAUAUGUCCUGAUAA